AUUGAACGCUGGCGGCAGGCCUAACACAUGCAAGUCGAGCGAGCGGAGGACGGGUGAGUUAUGUAUGGGGAUAUGCCCGAUAGAGGGGGAUAACUACUGGACACGGUCGCUAAUACCGUAUCCUACCGUAUGAACCCAUAUGGGAGUGGCUAGUAGGUGGGGUAAAGGCUCACCUAGGCGACGAUCUCUAGCUGGUCUGAGAGGAUGAACACGCACAGUGGGACUGAGACACGGCCCAGACUCCUAAGGGAGGCAGCAGUGGGGAAUAUUGCAAAAUGGGCGCAAGCCUGAUGCAGCCAUGCCGCGUGUAUGAAGAAGGCCUUAGGGUUGUAAAGGACUUUCAGCGGGGAGGCGUUACCCGCAGAAGAAGCACCGGCUAACUCCGUGCCAGCCGCCGCGGUAAUUC
rnacentral:rRNA from 1 species